rnacentral:lncRNA from 1 species
AUGGAUGAACGGGGGAUGAAAAGAAAUAAAGAAAAAGAGAUUGCUGUGAAGCAGACUCAGCUGCUGCUGGAUGUGGUGGAGGACGAGAACACGGUGCAGGAGAACAGAAGAGAGAUGGCAGACAUUUUACUGAACGCCCUGACGGACAGACAGCAGCACAGACAGACAUGGAGGGACAGGUAUGUGCCUGUGUGCCAAACUCUUGUGCUUAUUGUUACAUCUUUAGUGAAUUGUAUAGAAGCAAGGUUUUUUUAUGUUAGCAGGAGAACAACCCUUUAGGCUGAGAGAGUUCACACAAACACACACAUACACGUGUGCUGAUAGCCCAUUGACUUCCUUCCUCUGAGAUAAGGGCGACUGAGAGACAUAGCCCAUUUGUUCCGAUAACACAGUGAACCAGCCGUACACACAGAUACAGAUACGCAUACCAACACACUAGCACACACUCCUCCUUUCUCUUGCUUUAUUACUUCCCAUCAGACUGCUGUGUGUGUGUGUGUGUGUGUGUGUGUGUGUGUAGUUGUGUGUGUGUGUGUGUGUGUGUGUGUGUGUGUGGUAAUCUGUCUUCAUUUAGAUCAGACCAUUAGUCAGUAUGGCCUGAAAGAAGUGGAUUUCCCGCUUGAAAUUCUUGCAUCUUAACUUUAAGAAAAAUAAGGACUCCUCCCUGUCAUCUUGUUUCUGUAAAGUGGCCUCUUUAAGGGGGUCCUCCCCUCGCUUUGACCCCAGAGUGACACCCAGGGCUGCUGGUACCUGUAAACAGUGCUGAUGUUUUGCUAAAAUUGCGUUCUUAAAUCAAAUGAUGAAAACUAUGGACCAGACCGAGAUUCAUUUGGCAGAUGGCAUCAAGGACACAUCUUCACUAUCUUCACUCCUCUGUGUGCACACACUGCAAUGUGUUUGAACUCAUCCCUUUCCACUAUCACUUCCUGCCCCCCUUCUGGAGCGAGAUAACGUCACUCUUCGGAACAUCAGGCACAGGUCUGUAAAGUAGCUGUCAACAAGGCUAAGGUUAAGACACACUGUUAAGACAAAAAUGAACUCAUAGCUGAUAAUAUCUCCUCCGACACGAGCUGAUAAAGUGAACGUCGUACACCGCACACCUGAAUGCGGUGAUGUAUUAGUACUAUUAUUAUGACGGACUGUUAUAACAACUAUCAUGACUCACAGUGCCCAACACAAACAUCCAUUUCUGACCACUCUUCUUGAAAAGAAACUUCUUGGAGCAGCGUGCUAAAUCAUGUCGCUUAUUUUGCCAUGAAAGGUUGUGAUUGUUUUAUUCAUUUAGCAUGCAGCAGGCCCGCUCCUCACAUUAUGCCUUUCUUUUGUCUCUGUGUCUGUGUUUUGAGUGGUAAAAACCGGGUGAUGGAUGGUUGGCGCUACAGGCUCAUAAACAUAAGCACAGCGAGCUGAUUGAUUAAGGCUUUUAUUGUCUUACAGACAUUUGCUUUCUUAAACAGUAGUUGGAGUGUUGCAGACUGUGGGGCCUCUGGACCUGCUUUCAGCUAUCUGAAGUUACCCUGAGGCACAGAGAUGCUAAAUGUGACUGUAGGCUCCUCCUGUUGACUUAUGGGUACUCAGGCUUAUUAACUUACCACCUCCAGACAUUUUGGGUCUUUAUUUUUUAUUAUCUUUCGAUGGACUCAUUUUGGUCGUUUACUUUUUUAUUUUGCUCUUGCAAAAUGAAUAUGACAAGACAGGUACUGCGGUCACCUGAUUCUUUUACUAGACUGUCUCGCUUUCCCGUAACACACAACAUGUGGAAUUUAAAUUUAGCAAUUAAACAGUGAAGCAAUAAAUAUUUGCAUAAAAUAGUCUAAAGUGGUUCAGAGGCUCCUUUGGAAGUUAGCUGAGGCUUUCUGGUUGAGCACUUUUACAGUGAAGGUGUAAGUGCAGUGUAUGUAAAGGGGACCAUAUAUGCAUAUCCAUCUGUGGUUUUGGAAUAUUCUGGAAUGAUUUGCUCUUAAAAAUGUGUUGUGUCUUCCAUAGGUCAAAAUCAAACACUUACAGAAGGAAGAUCUCUUAGAGAUUCAUUUGCAUUGGCAGACGAAAGGGGUCGGCCUUGGGUUUUGUUUCAUCCAUAUGCAAGCCGCAGUGUUGUGGGUCAGAACCAUUGAUCUCGCACCCUUUAUGCCUGCACAGACGUGCUGCAUUUCGAAUUUACGUAAAAAGUACACAUGUGAACGCGCUCAGAUAGAACCGACCUUGCUCACAUCUCCUGUCACAUCUACAUCCAUCCUUUGACCUCUGCAGGGGUCACAGUCCAUUCCUGCGGUGGGCAGAUUGCGUGUUUGGGAGGUGAUGAAGGGGGCAGUGCCGGGAACAGCUGUGUGGUUUGUAGUGACCGUGCUAACUGCUGUAGGCUUUGUAAGGUCAUUAUAUGAUAAUGAAAAUGAUUACUGAAUUACAUUGGGGGUUUAGGAGAGGGGAGGGGAGUGAACGGUCUGAGUUUGAUAAAUGAUCUCUGAAAAUGCCCAUCUGUCUGCACCCCCCUCUCUUUCAGUCUCUCUCUCUGUUAUGUUCCCCUCUGUGUUUUGUCUUAUUCUGUUUUGGUGUUCUUGCAUUGCCACUCAAUUACAAAAGGUGAUAGAGUAGUAAAUGGAGCAACAAGAGAGGUGUGAGAGGAAGUGUGCAUCUGUGUGCAUGUUUAGUGCUGGACUCUCAGUAAACCACAGGAGAGAGCAGCCACCGUUCAUACUUCCUGUCAGAUAGCAGAAAAAUGAACUCACCCUCCUCUAGAUACACAAGAUGUCUGUCAGAUUUAAGUGGACGGGGCAGAUUUAGGGCAUAAUUUACUAAAGCAUGUAGGUCAUCCAAAACCAGUUUUUUCAUAGACGAAAAGAGCAGCAGAGCAUGCACUUGGAUACAUGGCUCUUAUUAAACACUUAAGUUAUUAAUCAUUUUAUUUAAAUCUGAAAAGAUUUAUGAACUGCAAAAUGCUUCAGUUGAUCUGUUCUCUGCUGUUUCCUUGUGUUAUUUUGAAAAUGUCUAUUAAACAUAUUAGGGUAACACUUUAUUUGAAGGUUUCCUUGUUACACGUUACAUGUAUUUACUAUUACAGUACCUAUAAAUUAUGCAUAAUUACAUGCAAGUAACCCUAAUCCAAAACCUAACCAUAUAGUAAGUACAUGUAGGUUAUUAAUAUUACUCAAUACUUAAAUGUAUAAUUACACUGUAACAAGGACACCUUAAAAUAAAGUGUAACCCAUGUAACACUUACGUGGUUCAAUUCAUCAACAUUAAGUAAUGCAUAAGAUAUCAUAAUAUAUAUCUGCAUUUUUUACAGCAUUUAUUAUUGCUGUUUAUUUUUGAGAUGAUAUUACAAUUUACAAGAGCUGUUUUCGCUUUUAAAAUGUAAAGUACUCCCGUGACGCAAAGCUGAAUUUUCAGGAGCCAUUACUCCGGUCUUUAGAAGUCAUUCUAAUAUGCUGAUUUGCUGCUCAAGAAACAUUUCUUAUUAUUAUUAUCAGUGUUAACAAUUGAUGUGCUGCUUAAUAUUUUUGUGUAAAGCAUGAUACAUUUUUUUCAGGUUUUGAUUUUUUUUUUGAAGCAUUAUACAUUUUUACUGUCAUUCACUGACACUAAACUUUUGAGUGGUAGUGUUUGUAGAAAUUAAUAAAUGCUGUAAAAGUAUAAUGUAUGCAUUAACCGGUGUUAACUUAUAGAACUUUGUUAUAAAGUGUUAACAAAAUAUGUCUUGCAUAUGCAUGCAUUGUGGCAAAUGUUUGUUUGCAUUUGAGCAUGUGAGUGUUGCAUCCUGGAGGCCUCAGCUGCCCUCAUCAGUCACCCUCAGUGCGUGACCUUUGACCUCAGGCUCUGAAUGUCUGUAUUUUAGUGAGUGUCUCAGUGUGUUGAGUGUGGUGUGACCUCUCGUACUUCACCUGGGUGGAAACCUUCUGAACAGAAAUGCCACAGGCUGUCAUCACACACUCACACACACACAGAAAGGUCAUGGAGUUCAGAGGGCAAGCAGAAGUUUCUCCACAGACUAGAACAUCAAACACCAAACAUUACACUCACAGGCAAACAUGAUAGGUAACUCACCUAUGUUUUGGCAAUACAAACGAGGUCAGUGUUAAUGCUUUAUGAGUAAUGUGCAUUAAAUAAUUACAUUGUUUUAGAGGAAUAAAGUUAUUAACAUGUUACUUUUUGAAUUAACACCAUCAUAUUUAGUGCUUAUAUAGCACUAUACUUUAAGUAAUGCACACUUUGUAUUAUAUAAUAUUUUUGCAAAGCUGUUACUACACUUUAUU